rnacentral:lncRNA from 1 species
GGAAAAUGUCAUCUUUAUUCUUGAAGGCCAUGUGCCCUGCUAAAAUUUUUAUGUCUAUGGAAGGACACAAGAGAUACUGCAGGACAACCAGAUUAGAAUGACUUUUCCUGUGUUUCCCACUGAACGUUUUGUCCUGUUGAUAAGACCAUCAUUUCCUCACUCAGAAAUGCAGUCUUAAGCAGAAAUAGGAACAUCACAUUGCUGAGCUGGACAAAGAAGUAGCACAAGAAAAAAAAAGAUAAAAUUAGCCUGAUAUCCUGUUUUAAACAAAAACAGCUCAAUUGGCAGUUUCGGCCUGCAGGGAAGUAGGCUGAGAGCCAAUACUGAACUACCUUUCAUCUAUGGAAAAGCUGGCCUUCGCUCAGGGCACAGCUUUGGCAGCUUAUAACCAGAUUCGAAAUCACAUUCCAUUUCCUUUUCUAUCUGCCAGAUCUCUCGCACUGGCUAACACUAUCCUUCCAGAGAAGAGCACUGAGGUGAGCAAGGAAAGAGAAUUUUUAAGUGUGGAGGUUGCGAGGUCUAGAACCUUGGAAGUCACUCAUAGAUGCAUUGUCAAGCCUUUGUGGGAGAUUUGCGUACUUUCUGUGCUCUAGAAACUUCUAAUUGAGUAUGAAGAAGCCUGAUUUUUGUUAACGUGUGUGUGGAGCUAUGAAAUUUGCUAUAUAAGAAGACAAUAGAAAAGAAGAAGAAGAAAAUGCAAAUCAGAG